UUAAUGGUUUCAGCAUCAGUCACAUUUCAAAGGCUAGAUCUUUCCCAGGGCUUAAGCUGUUCCUCGGAUACUUUCAGUAAGUCAUUUAUUCACUAAUAAUUUAGUAAUCGUCUCCAACAUGCAGAACACUGUGCUCAGGGCUGGAAAUACAGAACCUGGGAAGCCACUCGCCUUGUCCUCAAGAUCUCUCUCUGGCCCUCUUUGAAUUUGCUAAUUCAGAUUUCCACAUUUCUGAAGUUUUCCCCCAGAAAAAAUCAUAAGGACCAAAUUAUAUCCAGUUUCUCAAAUGGCUUCAAAGACCCAUGUGGGGUCUUUGGCAUUGUGUAAUUCUUUACUGAUGUACUUUCAGAGUCAAGUUUUACUUUCUUCAUGCAGCUGUCAAAGACAGACACAAAGAGUGGGGGUGUCUUCCUCAUCAAAUCCUCUCCCACAGUACUCCAGAGUAUUUUCAUCAUUUAAGUAAACAC